rnacentral:rRNA from 1 species
UGUGUAGGUGGCGCCGUAAGUCGGGUGUGAAAUUUCGGAGCUUAACUCCGAAACUGCAUUCGAUACUGCGGUGCUUGAGGACUGGAGAGGAGACUGGAAUUCAUGGUGUAGCAGUGAAAUGCGUAGAGAUCAUGAGGAAGACCAGUGGCGAAGGCGGGUCUCUGGACAGUUCCUGACACUGAGAUACGAAGGCCAGGGGAGCAAACG